AGACAGACUUCAGUGCCCAACAUCUCCUGUGCAAGGCUGUCACCUUCUGAAGCUGUUUCCUCACUUGUUGCAGACAGACUUCAGUGCCCAACAUCUUCUCCUGUGCAAGGCUGUCACCUUUUGAAGCUGUUUCCUCACGGCUCAACCCAUGAAAAUACUAAUUAAACCAUCGUAUUUGCUCAUGACAGGGCAGCAGUAACUUACAGACCACAGCUUUUUUCUGACCAAGCCUAUCCCUGCUGACUGAAUGCUAGGAAUCACGACGGAGAAGAUUUCCUGGCUGUUAAAGCUUUAAGGCUAGACAAGGAAUAAAUACUUCCUUCCCCAUACAAUUUGAAGGUGUAUCAUCCAUCCAUCCAUCCCUCCCUCCCUCCAUUUCUCCUGCUGUGAGCUCUGUGGGAGUUACGCCGCAGCACGACGUGGAUGCAAGCUCAAAUUCUGACCUGUGAAGAGCACAUUCAUCUCAGACAACUUGGCUAGCUGAUCUCUGGACUGAUGGCCAGGAGGGAAGAUCAGUGGUGGAAUGCAGACCAAAAGCUGUCAAUUUCAAACAGAAUUUGUUUACACCAACACAGGCCGUGCACAGUGGGAACCUCCUUCAGUGAAGCAAAGCUGGAGGACAGUUCAGCAGCCCUGGGAGAAAUGCAUCCCUGGGACACAGAUCCAUGAAGCGGUGCUCAAAAAAGUUUCUGGUGAGAUGAGAUCUCAGGAGGAACUUCCUCGCUGUGAGUGUGGUGAGAGCCUGGCCCAGGGUGCCCAGAGAAGCUGUGGCUGCCCCAUCGCUGGAGGGGUUC
rnacentral:lncRNA from 1 species